GCGCCCGUAGCUCAGCUGGAUAGAGCGGUGGCCUUCGAAGCCACAUGUCGGGGGUUCGAAUCCCUCCGGGCGUA
rnacentral:tRNA from 1 species